UUUUAAACUAGGAUUAGAUACCCUAUUAUUCCAUUUUUAGAAAACAUCACUUGGGUACUAAAAAGUUAUGAACUUCAAAUCCAAAGAAUUUGGCGGUAUCUCAGAGUUUUUAGAGGAACCUGUCCUAUAAACGAUAAACCACGCAGUAUCUUACUUUAUUUUGCAAUUUCAGUUUGUAUAUCGCCAUGUUAGAUUCUACUUUAAAGUACAUUUCUAGAUAGAGUAUUAACUACUAAUGACAUUAGGUCAAGAUGCAGCCAACAAUAAAGAAAGCGAUGGGUUACAAUAUAAUGUAUAUAUAACGAAGAUAAACAUGAAGUUUUUAUUGAAGGUGGAUUUAAUAGUAUAACAAGAUUUAAUAAGCUUAUUUGAACAUGAUCUGGAGUGCGUACACAUCGCCCGCUCUU
rnacentral:rRNA from 1 species